AGGUUUAGCUAUCUGAGCAGGGAGUACAAAUAUUUCUUUUGGGAAGACAAUCUAAAUCUCAAGGCAAUGGAAAGCUCUGGUGAGAAAUUUAUAGCUAAGCAAAUCAACCUCACAACAAAGUCAAGUGCACAAUGGAAUGGAUGAUGAAUUGGAGGGUGGAG